rnacentral:tRNA from 1 species
GGGGAUGUAGCUCAACGGGAGAGCGCUUGCUUUGCAUGUAAGAGGCCCUGGGUUCAACCCCCAGCAUCUCCA